GACGAACGCUGGCGGCGUGCUUAACACAUGCAAGUCGAACGGAAAGGCCCUGCUUUUGUGGGGUGCUCGAGUGGCGAACGGGUGAGUAACACGAGAGUAACCUGACCUUGACUUUGGGAUAGCAACAGGAAACUGGGGCUAAUACCGGAUAGGAGCUCCUGCUGCAUGGUGGGGGUUGGAUAGUUUCGGCGGUUGGGGAUGGACUCGCGGCUUAUCAGCUUGUUGGUGGGGUAGUGGCUUACCAAGGCUUUGACGGGUAGCCGGCCUGAGAGGGUGACCGGCCACAUUGGGACUGAGAUACGGCCCAGACUCCUACGGGAGGCAGCAGUGGGGAAUAUUGCACAAUGGGCGGAAGCCUGAUGCAGCGACGCCGCGUGCGGGAUGACGGCCUUCGGGUUGUAAACCUCUUUCGCCUGUGACGAAGCGUGAGUGACGGUAAUGGGUGAAGAAGCACCGGCUAACUACGUG
rnacentral:rRNA from 1 species